CUAGAGCUCGACUUCCCAGCAGGUGACGGGUCAACAAGACUAGGAGAAGUGGUUCAUGGGGUCAUUCUAUGGCGCAAAUGCUACAUCAUCAUCCCCGGCGUAGAGGCACCUCCUCAGAGCUCAAGACCACUCUCCGCAAAUCCACAGCAGCGACCAUCUCCUCAAACAUCCAGACCAUCAUCCCCACCACAACUUGCUCCAUGAUCAAGGUCUCCAUCUCCACCACAUCCUGGUGGUUGUAGCAAUGAAAAUGACAACAAUACCCCUCCACAAUCACCUUUGCCGGGACUAAUAGCACCAUUUAAGAAGUCGCGACUACCAC
rnacentral:lncRNA from 1 species